rnacentral:tRNA from 1 species
GCCGAGUUGGUCGAGUGGUUAAGACGCAAGACUCUAAAUCUUCGAAAUCACGGGUUCGAAUCCCGUACUCGGCA